UGAAGCCGUGUGCGGUGAAAGUCGCAAGCACGGUUUUGCAGCCGAGUUAUCCGAGUAAUUGGGUAGUUUAGGUAACUAAUUCGUCUUCAGGCUGGU
rnacentral:ncRNA from 1 species